rnacentral:rRNA from 1 species
UACGGGGGGGGCAAGCGUUGUUCGGAAUUACUGGGCGUAAAGGGCUCGUAGGUGGCCAACUAAGUCAGACGUGAAAUCCCUCGGCUUAACCGGGGAACUGCGUCUGAUACUGGAUGGCUUGAGUUUGGGAGAGGGACGCGGAAUUCCAGGUGUAGCGGUGAAAUGCGUAGAUAUUCGGAAGAACACCAGUGGCGAAGGCGACUUACUGGACACAUAUUGACGCUGAGGUGCGAAAGCGUGGGGAGCAAACAGG